ACACACACACACACACACACACACACUGCAACUUAGCCUACAUAGGUAGAAUCUGGCAGCCGCCUCUAAUCCUGGAAAACACAUCGGGUUGGCCUGUCAUAAAAACAGUCCUUCUGGCCAUUGAGCAAACAAGAAAUCCUCAAUUCGGGGCACAGUGAAUCUUGGCCUUGUGAGCACACUUGCUUUAGGUAUGUAUUUUGGCUUUUAUUCUGACUUAAAAACAAAAAACAAACAAACAAAAACACCUAAGUAUUUUCUGGCAUUGCCAUCAAUGUUCUUAGUGGCUUUAAUUAACAUCAUUUUAUCUGCUGUUUCUGAAAGCCACAUGGAUCUUACAUUUAUGUUUGUCAGCUCAUUUAAUCCCUUAGUAUUAUUACCAAGAAAGAUAUUACCUAAGCUAAUUUAGAAAAAAAAAAAAAUCCUGGCAGAAGCUUAAACUUUGAGGGAGCAUAACCCUGUGAAGGGAGCCAUUUGUAGGCGUUUGUAAAGGCCAUGGUUUUGUGUUCUUCUCUUCCCACCCUGAAUAGUUUGGGAUGUUUAAACCUUUUAUUUUUAUUUUUAUUUUUUUAAAGACAGGUCCUAAUUUAUCUUAGGCUGACCCCAACCAUCUGUGUGGUUUAAAAUGACCUUGAACUUCCAGGCCCCUCUACGUCCUAAGUGCUGGGAUUAUAGGCCUAUGCCACAAAACCCUUCUUAUGUGGUUCAAGGGGCAAAUUCUCUCCAAACUAAGCGACAUCCACAGACCAAUUUGCAGGUUUUGAAAUGGAUUAGAGAAGCUUGGGUUCACAUAGAAGACGAAUGAGUCAAAGUCACAGUUGUACUUUGUUGCUCUAAAAAUGAGAUUCUAAGGAAUUUCUACUGACGGUGAAUGUUAUGGAUUUCCACAUGAAAUGGUAGGACAAAUUCUGCUUUAUGCUACAAUUGCAUGUGCUGUGGUGGGGGUACAUUAGACAUUAAAAUGGAGUUCUAAGCCUUCCACUUCUCUCUCCCUCCCUCCCUGUCUUCCUUCUCUCUGUCCUUCCCCCCGCCUGACAUAACUAAAUAUUUCAUUUUUCUCAUGAAAUUCUAAGACUAUUUUAAAUAGUUUAAAAAUAGCCAUUGAAUUCCCCACUUGUAAGCAUGGGUACAACUGUAGCAGCAGUAGACUUGAUUAUUUAAGAACCAUAUGAAGCAGGUUUCUAAUUGCCCACUUUAGCAUAGAUUAUAAAUCAACACUUUCUGAAUUUCUGUUUUGUACCGGGAGUGUUGUUAGGUACUGGGCACAGAACUCAGCUACAUACUACCUACUUCAGCCUUGGACAGCACCUGCCCAAGUGGGUUUACUGGAGGAUAUAUUGGAGUGCUCUUGCUUAAAUGAGUUCCAUAUGUUGCUCUGGAGAACCCAAGUUUCUCAUCAGUAGCGGCAGGAUUAAAAAGUAAUUUCUGAUUCUGACGAGGGAAGCAGGUCUACUAACUGCAGAUCUUUGGCUCCCCCUCCUCUCCCCUAAAUCUAAUCCCCUGGUCUCAUCCCCAGCUCUUCAGCAGAAUACUUAAUGAAGCCCCCUCCCCCCUUGCUUGAUCACACAGAUCUUCUCCCUCUUAUCCCCUCCCUGUCAUUGGUUUGUCCAGCCUCCAACUCCAGCAGGUGCUCCCUGAGAGCUCACUGGCCACUCCCACCAAUACCUAGAAACUCAUUUUACCUGGAACCCCCAGUGGCCACACUUAUCAGAACCCCAGAAGAAUGUCUUACUAGGCAACACACAACUGACACCCUCUUCUAAGAACCAGAGAAGAAACAGAAAACAAGGCACAAAACACCUACCUAACGAAGACAAGAACAGCUAUUAUUAGCAACUAGAAUUAUACUCAUUUCAAUCCCAGAUGAUUAGACACCAGCAUAAAAACACAAUCAAAAGUACAUAGGACUUUACUAGAAGUAAAAGUACAUGCCUUUACUAGAGCCUGGCAACCCUACAACAGUAGGCCCUGAGCACUGCAAAACAACUGAAGCACAAGAAAAGACCUUAAGACAACCUUUAAGGACUUUUCCUUAAAAGAGGAAAUGAAUAAAUCCCUUAAAGAAAUCCAGGAACACACAAGCAAACAGUGGAAGGAAUGAAUAAAACAGUUAAACACCUGAAUGUGGAAAUAGAAUCAACAAAGAAAACUCAAACUGAGGAAAGUAUUGAAAUUUAGGAACUUGAACAGGUACCAUAGAGGCAAGCCUCACCAACAGAAUAAAAGAGAUGGAACAGAGAAUCUCAGGCAUUGAAGACACAAUAGAAGAUAUGGAUACCUGGUCAAAGAAGAUGUUAAUUAAUG
rnacentral:lncRNA from 1 species